GACGAACGCUGGCGGCGUGCUUAACACAUGCAAGUCGAACGGAAAGGCCUGCUUUCCCUUGUGGAUUGCGGGUACUCGAGUGGCGAACGGGUGAGUAACACGUGAGUGAUCUGCCCCCAACUUGGGUAUAAGCCUGGGAAACUGGGUCUAAUUCCCGAUAGGACUGCAGGGUGGUGCCUGUGGUGGAAAACGAUUUUCUAGUGGUUGGGGAUGAGCUCGCGGCCUAUCAGCUUGUUGGUGGGGUAAUGGCCUACCAAGGCGGCGACGGGUAGCCGGCCUGGGAGGGUGGACGGCCACAUUUGGACUGGGAUACGGCCCCGACUCCUACGGGGGGCAGGAGUGGGGAAUAUUGCACAAUGGGCGGAAGCCUGAUGCAGCGACGCCGCGUGGGGGAUGACGGCCUUCGGGUUGUAAACUCCUUUCGACCGCGAGGAAGCCACCUGGUUGGAAGGGUGGUGACGGUAGUGGUAGAAGAAGCACCGGCUAACUACGUG
rnacentral:rRNA from 1 species